rnacentral:lncRNA from 1 species
GAAAAGAAAGUUUGAAAAUCAAAAGCAUAAGGCUUAGGUUUCUAAUGUUGGAAAAACAAGUGUUAAAUGUUUGCACAAAAAGUUUUGGCUUGGGUUAGAGUGGAGGGAAGAAGAAGAAUGGUUAAGGUCCUAAUCAUACAAGAGAUGAAGGAUAAGAAACAAGACCACAAAUGGAGUUCCUCUCUUGAGAUCAUAUUGAUGAUUCAAGUAGCUCCCAUCCUUUGGAAUAUGCAAGCAAAAUAAGUAAUAAGCUCAAGCAAUCAACAUAAUCAAACAAGCUCCUUAGAAGAUCCCCAAUGUCUCUUGUAUCUUUCAUUUUGGAUGAACAUGGCAAUGGUUCUUCA